UGGGCGGGCCCGGGGCGGGGCCCGCACUCCGGGAUCAGGUUCACUUAGUGCAGCUUCUCCUGUUGGGGGUCCGAUCCCUGAGGGACACUGGGUCCACUCCGCUGUGUGGACCCGGGAUUUCCUUUAAGGAGGCCGCCUGGGGUAAGUGUUCCUCCCUAAAAUCUCAUGUGCUCACAAAUGUGGAUUAGAAACUUCGAUGAAGAAGGAGGUGGCAGCGUUUUCUUCCUGAUCUUUGACUCAUUGCAUGGGAGGGGCUGCUCGAAACUGUAGGUGCACUAGACUACUGGUGAUCCCAGAGACCUCCAUGGAGAAAUACACCAGUGAAACACAGCAGUGAAUACAGCAAACUUCAAUGGCUGUUCCCCAAGCUGAGUCCUCCACAUUUGCUGCCCCCUCAAGACUUCAGAGAUUAUGCAAUUGUAAGAGCCUCCUCUAUACAUUUCAGUAGUCUCUUUGGAGAUAGAAGCUUUCAUGAAGCUUAACUGCCUUUGGUAAUUAGCACUGGGAGGAAAAAUUCUCCAGAAACUACCCUGGUUCCCCAAGCCUUGUCUGUCAUUGCCAAUACAGGUGAAAUGAUAAUUGCCAUUCCAAGGAGAGCAGAGAUCACUGAUUCGCACACUCUUAUACCAAGGUCUUGAUUCCUCCUUGCCUGCAAUGCUGACUGUUGUGUUACAAGUUGUCCCAAAUAUUUUUAAUGACUUCAUUUAGUCACAUGUAUGUGGGGAGAAUGAAAGAAGCAUCAGAAUAUCUAAGGGCACAGCUCGGUGGAAUUUUACAAAUGGAACACUGCUCUCUAUGCAUAGAGAAAUAGAAUUUUAUCAUUUAAUCUGAAGCUUUCUUCUGUCUCAUCUAGUAUCCCCAGAGUUAGAGUUCUCUGGGACCUGUAUGUAGAAAUGGAAUAAGUUAGAUAUGGGUUUACAUCUAUUUUACUAUUUAAAGUAUUUGAUCAAUUAACAUCAGUGAAAAAUGUUCACAUUUGCUAUUUACAAUUGAUGAGCUAUUUGGGGGAAUUUUUCUUUGUUAUUUAACAUUAAUGAUGAUACAAUUUUCCAAUGAUUAUGGGGCUCUAUUCAUUAAAUAUCAAGCAAUUAAUUAAAAUAUUAUGGUGUGAAUGGGCAUAAGGUUGGUUUUCAGUUGAGUUCUACUGUGAGUAAUAAAUAGUGCUAUCUGUAGACUUACAUGUAGUGGGUCUUUUGGUGAUCCAUGUAUGAGUUUCUGUUGAGUAAAUUAAUAGAAAUGAAUUAUUGCAAACAUAAAAUUAUACCUUAUACUUUUGAUUUUGGUUGAUAUUGCUGAACAAUUUUCCAAAAUAUCUGACUCAUUUCGAUAUUGCUAUAUGUGUAUAUCAUAUUGGCUUAUCCAUGUUCUUACUAAAACUGAUUAUUUCUUGCCAUGUUUAUUUUAGCUCUCUGGAUGAUAAAGAUGGCACCAAUUAGUGAUUUUUAUUUCCUGAUUAGUAAUGUCAUUGAAUAUAUUCUGUGUGCUCAUAACCCACUACUUAUUUUUAAAAUUUCAUCUAAAAUAUUAUUUCAUUUUAAUCCUCUUGUGUAAUCUACUAGAGUCAUUAAUGGUGGAUAUACGUGUUUCCAUAUCUCUGUUUUGUAUCUUUCUCUUUCUCUAUCUCACUCUUCUCUCUCUGUCUAUAUGAAUGCAAUUAUGAAUGUGUCUUUUUAUGAAAAUGCCCAUUAAUUGUAACACAAGAGAAAUUUCAUCCAUAGAAUUACUUAUUUUAAAGAAUUAUUUCUUAGCAGCACAAUUUGUAAUAGCUAAAUUUUGGAAACAGCUAAAAGGCCCAUAAACUGCAGAAUGGAUGAAAAAGAUAUGGUAUUUUUAUAUAAUGGAAUAUUACUCAGCUAUAUAAAGGGAUGAUCUUGAGACUUUUCUAGGCAAACGGAAGCAACUUGAGAUUAUACUCAUAAGUGAAAUAAAUCAGAUUAACAUUGGUAAAUAUCAUAUUGUCUCCCUAGUGUAAAAAAUAAAUAAUAAUAAGCUGAAACAGUAAUAAGAUCCAAAAUGUACAAGAGGUAAUGUAAUAAUGAAAGGGAAAGAAAGUGCUCAAAAGGAAAGAACAACUUGUAGGGAACAGUAUGUAUGUAUAUUUAAGAGUGCACGAUAGAUAAGUUUUUGAUAGUUCAUCAAAAAGAAUAGUUUGUGCUAUCAUUGUUGCACUGACUGUUCAUUUUUAUGUUUAGAUUUCAUAGCUUGAACAGCUACUUCAAAGAUAUUACACAAUAUGUUAACUAGUGUUGAUUUCUUACUGUUAAUUCUUGAAAUUCUGUAUUAUUUCUACCUUUUUUCUGUUUUGCUUUUUAAAAAUAGAAAAGAACUAUUUCUUAGAUGAAAUAAGUAAUUUUUGUAAAACACUUAUAUUUAUCUUAAAUAUUUAUAAUUGAAAUCCAUUCAAAAUUGACCUGCUAUAUGAUGUUUAGAAGGAGUAUGGAUUUUUGUUCUUUCACUGUAAUUAAGAAAAAAUUCAGGAUUGACUGAAAAUUUUGGAUUUUGCUUUCUUUCUGUAUGCUGUCAUUUCUCCUCCAGCUUAACACAGCCUUUUCCUUAAUGAUGGCUUUCUCCAGAAUAUGCUGAAUAUUGUCUUUGCCUACUUUUCUUUCUUGAGACUUGGCAAUCCCACAAGAGCAUACCACUAAAAUUGUUCUGGUAUCAAAUCUCUACAGUAAGCCAAGUUGUUACUCAAAGAAGUGGAUAUUAUAACAAUUUAAAUGAAAUUUUAAAAGGAAAUUACAAAAUAACUUUGAAGCAUUUGGCAAUAGGCAUUAUCUUGUUUCAGAUUAUCAUUGGUGUCCCGGACAAUGUCUUCCUUCUUUACCAUUAUAUUUUUCUUUUCCACAAAGAGAAGCAGAGUAAAGUCCACAAAUGUGAUUCUGAGGCACGUUGAUAACCAACUUCUUAGUUCUUCCUAGAGAAGUUCCUCAUACAAUGGUAGCCUUUGGGCUGAAACAGUGCUUCAGUGUUUUGGCUUCAAAUUUGUCUCAUAUGCUGACAGAAUGGCAGGGAUGUGUCAGUUGGUACCAACUGCACAUUGAGCAUCUUCUUCCAGAAUAUCACAGCCAGCCCCUUGGACUCUUGUUGGAAAGACUUUAAAGUAACAGCUAAAAAGAAUGAGGACUUCUCUAUUCACUUUUACUGGAUCUUAAACAGUGGCCAAUUUAAUUAUUCCUCUGUUCACAUCAUAUUUUUCUGGAGAAGGUUUUCAGCAGAAACACUAGAAAGAAAAUAAAUGUGGGGUUCUGUUGUCUUGUUGACUAUGGGAUCAUCAUUAACUUUGUCUAUAUAGCAUUAGUAAUUUUUCUUUUUUAUUAAAUUUUAUUUAAAGAAAGACUAAACAAAACAAAAAAUAGGUAGAAAUAAUACAUACGUUCAGAGAAAAAAAUAAACAGUAAGAAAUCACUAGUUGAUGUUUACAUAUUGUCAUUUUACAAAGAGUUGUUCAAGAUACAAGAAUGGAACAUGUAAAGUGGGCAUUCAAACAGUGAGACUGCAAACAGUUCUGUUCAACUGUCCAACAAAAACUUAGUAACAUGGUUGUCAAUCCUAUACACUUAAACAUACAUGCAGUUAUCCAUAUCUUCAUUUAUAUUUAGCUUAAACAAACUAAAGCAGGUUAAAAUCAUUAUGAAGAAAGAAUAAUGGUAUUGCUGGAUUUCACAUCAUGACACUCUAUGAUCAGCACUGGGUAUUGUAGUAUUUUUUUAAAAUUUAAUUUAAAGUAAGACUAAACAAAACAGAAAAUGGGUAGAAAUAAUACAUAAUUUCAAAUAAAAAAAUAACAGUAAGAAAUCACUAGUUGAUGAUUACAGAUUGUCUUCUUACAGAUAGUUUUUCAAGAUACUAAAGUGGAGCAUAUAAAGUGAGGAUUCAAACAGUGAGGUUGCAACCAGUUCUGUUCAACUAUCCAACAAAAACUUAAAAAUAUGGUUAUCCAUCCUAUACACUUAAACAUACAUGCAGUUAUCCAUAUCUUCAAUAAUGUUGAGAUUGAAUAAACCCAAGCAGGCUAAUAUCACCCUGGACAAAGAAUAAUACUAUUGCUGGGUUUCACAUUAUGACACUCCAGGAUCAGCAAUGGAUAUUUUAGUGUCUCUUUUUCUUCAAAGUAUCUGUUCAUUUCAUCAUGUGUUAUAUGAUCAGCUCUCGAACUGUUUAUAGAUUCUUCACAUGCAUGAGUAUUAACAUGUAUUUCUAUCCCUUCUAUAUUACAGGGAGAAACAAAACAAAGCAUGACAAAACAAAACAUAUUCCUAUAAACACAUGAAAUGAAAUAAACAUACAAGACCGUUGUACCAA